UNCCCUAUCGUCUAGAGGCCUAGGACAUCGCCCUUUCACGGCGGUAACCGGGGUUCGAAUCCCCGUAGGGACGCCA
rnacentral:tRNA from 1 species